UACAGAGGAGCCAAGCGUGGUCCGGAUUGACUGGGCGUAAAGCGCACGCAGGCGGACGCGCGCGUGGGGUGUGAAAUCUGGCCGCUUAACGGCCAGGCGCCAUCCCAUACGGCGCGUCUGGAGUGAUGCAGAGGUCGAUGGAAUUGCCGGUGUAGUGGUGAAAUGCGUAGAGAUCGGCAGGAACACCCAGGGGGAAACCAGUCGACUGGGCAUCUACUGACGCUGAGGUGCGAGAGCGUGGGGAGCGAACCGG
rnacentral:rRNA from 1 species